rnacentral:rRNA from 1 species
UUGAACGCUGGCGGCAUGCCUUACACAUGCAAGUCGAACGGCAGCACGGACUUCGGUCUGGUGGCGAGUGGCGAACGGGUGAGUAAUACAUCGGAACGUGCCUAGUAGUGGGGGAUAACUACUCGAAAGAGUGGCUAAUACCGCAUGAGAUCUACGGAUGAAAGCAGGGGAUCGCAAGACCUUGUGCUACUAGAGCGGCUGAUGGCAGAUUAGGUAGUUGGUGGGAUAAAAGCUUACCAAGCCGACGAUCUGUAGCUGGUCUGAGAGGACGAUCAGCCACACUGGGACUGAGACACGGCCCAGACUCCUACGGGAGGCAGCAGUGGGGAAUUUUGGACAAUGGGCGCAAGCCUGAUCCAGCAAUGCCGCGUGCAGGAUGAAGGCCUUCGGGUUGUAAACUGCUUUUGUACGGAACGAAAAGCUUCGGGCUAAUACCCUGGAGUCAUGACGGUACCGUAAGAAUAAGCACCGGCUAACUACGUG